rnacentral:rRNA from 1 species
GACGAACGCUGGCGGCGUGCUUAGCACAUGCAAGUCGAACGGAAAGGCCCUGCUUUUGUGGGGUGCUCGAGUGGCGAACGGGUGAGUAACACGUGAGUAACCUGCCCUUGACUUUGGGAUAACUUCAGGAAACUGGGGCUAAUACCGGAUAGGAGCUCCUGCUGCAUGGUGGGGGUUGGAAAGUUUCGGCGGUUGGGGAUGGACUCGCGGCUUAUCAGCUUGUUGGUGGGGUAGUGGCUUACCAAGGCUUUGACGGGUAGCCGGCCUGAGAGGGUGACCGGCCACAUUGGGAAUGAGAUACGGCCCAGACUCCCACGGGAGGCAACAGGGGGGAAUAUUGCACAAUGGGCGGAAGCCUGAUGCAGCAACGCCGCGUGCGGGAUGACGGCCUUCGGGGUGUAAACCGCUUUCGCCUGUGACGAAGCGGGAGUGACGGUAAUGGGGAAAGAAGCACCGGCUAACUACGUG